AUGAUCGGUGAUGGGGAGUCUCGCUUCACCAUUAAUGGGAAAACGAUCUUCCACUUCGUUGGGACCUCCACCUUCAGUGAGUACACCGUUAUCCAUGUCGGGUACCUCGAAAAAAAACCUGAGGCGCCCCUUGACAAAGUUUGUGUUCUCAGCUGUGGUAUCUCAACUGGACUUGGUGCUACCCUCAAUGUCGCGAAACCGAAAAAGGGUGACGAUCCAAGACGUUUUUGUUCUACGCCAUGUUUGAUCGGGCCAUGGAAGGGGCCAAGAUGGCUUGGGGCAUCAAGGAUCAUUGGUGUGGAUUUGAACCCUGCAAAAUACGAACACGCUAAGAAAUUUGGAUGCACGGACUUUGUGAACCCAAAGGACCACACCAAGCCCGUGCAAGAGGUGCUUGUCGAGAUGACCAAUGGUGGAGUCGACUGUACGGUUGAGUGCACUGGCCACAUUGACGCCUUCGAAUGUACUGUCACAUCCCUAGCUUCUGGGUUGGGCGUGGUGGUGCUGGUGGGUGUCCCGCACAAGGAGGCGGUGCUCAAGACCCACCCGAUGAACUUCCUCAACGAAAGGACUCUGAAGGGCACAUUCUUCGGAAACUACAAGCCGCGCACACUCCCGGAAGUCAUCGAGAUGUACAUGAGGAAGGAGCUGGAGGGCCGGCGAAUCCAUGAUGGGAUCUUGUCCCUUCAUGAAAUUGUCCACGAGGUGACUUCGCAUGGCCAUAAGGGUGUUUUCCUUAAAUUGGACUUCCAGAAAGCUUAUGACCGCCUGGACUGGUCCUUCUUGAGGUUGGUGAUGCAACGAAGAGGUUUUGAUGAACGGUGGUGCUCCUAG
rnacentral:rRNA from 1 species